GUUUCCGUAUGUUAACCUGCGGAAGGAUCAUUA
rnacentral:rRNA from 1 species